UCAAUUGCCGGCGACCGGCGCACGGGUGCGUAACGCGUAUGUAACCUACCUAUAACAGGGGCAUAACACUGAGAAAUUGGUACUAAUUCCCCAUAAUAUUCGGAGAGGCAUCUCUCCGGGUUGAAAACUCCGGUGGUUAUAGAUGGACAUGCGUUGUAUUAGCUAGUUGGUGAGGUAACGGCUCACCAAGGCAACGAUACAUAGGGGGACUGAGAGGUUAACCCCCCACACUGGUACUGAGACACGGACCAGACUCCUACGGGAGGCAGCAGUGAGGAAUAUUGGUCAAUGGACGCAAGUCUGAACCAGCCAUGCCGCGUGCAGGAAGACGGCUCUAUGAGUUGUAAACUGCUUUUGUACGAGGGUAAACUCACCUACGUGUAGGUGACUGAAAGUAUCGUACGAAUAAGGAUCGGCUAACUCCGUGCCAGCAGCCGCGGUAAUACGGAGGAUUCAAGCGUUAUCCGGAUUUAUUGGGUUUAAAGGGUGCGUAGGCGGUUUGAUAAGUUAGAGGUGAAAUCCCGGGGCUUAACUCCGGAACUGCCUCUAAUACUGUUAGACUAGAGAGUAGUUGCGGUAGGCGGAAUGUAUGGUGUAGCGGUGAAAUGCUUAGAGAUCAUACAGAACACCGAUUGCGAAGGCAGCUUACCAA
rnacentral:rRNA from 1 species